rnacentral:lncRNA from 1 species
CCAGCUGCCACAUCUAAGUUGGAGGGGGGCUAGUCCCCCCGGGGAGGGCCAACUCCACUGUGCCUGCUCCUCCUGGCCAGUGCUGGUCCCCUGUCAGCCCCACAGCACCCAGUCUGUUCGUCAUCAGCGUGGGAUGGUGUCUCCACACCGACUCGGAGAUGCAGGCGGUUUGCACUGUGACGUGCUAUUUAUUGAGCACCUGCUGUGCCCCAGGCCCUGUACGAGGCUUGAGAUCCACCAGGGAACAGAACAGAAAGCACCCUCCCCUCCAGGAACUUGCAUCCCAGUGUGGGGAUUCAGACAAACAAAUGAACAAGUAAGCGUGAAGUAUGUAAAUUAGCGGUGAGGGCUGUGUAGAGAAACUUAGCUGGUUAAGGAGGGUCCGAGUUAGUACUUUACUGGGGCUGCUCUGGCCUCACUGAGAAGACAUUUGAGCAGAGAUCGAAUGAAUUGAGGAAACAAGUCACGUGCACUUCUGAGGGAAGAGUGUUCUAGGCCCUGGGAACAGCAGGUGCAAAGGCCCUGUGGUGGGAGCCUGCUGAGAGCAGCGAGGGGCCCCAAGAGGAAGGGUGGGAAGCAGAAGUGGGAGAGGAGGCCAGACAGGUGACACCAGGUCAGAAAGGACUGGUUAAUACCCAGGUGAGGAGGCAGUCAUCAAAGGGCUGGGUACACCACCUGGCUCUGUGCAGUGUGUGGUUGUCCCAGCUGCUGCACGGAGGAUGGCUGUGGUCGGAGCAAGCCUGGUGAGGACGCCCCAUCAAGUCAGGAGGCUUUGCAGCCAAACAGGGCAGGGACGGGCGGCCGCGGGGGUGGUGCAGGCUGGUCCGACUCCAGGUGUGUCUGCAGGUGGCCAGCUGGGACCUGCCAGUGGGUCGGGGGUGGAGCGCAAGGAGCCAGGCUUGCCUCAGCGCAGCUGGAAGUGGGCGCAGCGACCGG